rnacentral:lncRNA from 10 species
CGAGGUGGACCCCUCCCGAGAUGGUGUCACAGUGCUGUGGAAGGCCAGGUGGACCCCUCCCGAGAUGGUGUCACAGUGCUGUGGAAGGCCAGUUCCAAUUUGAGCCGCUGUGAAAAAGGCCUCCACCAGCCUCUCACCAGAAGAGAUUGCUCAUUGGAACGCAAUGCCACCUGGUGGGGGACGAGGACAGUGCGAGCAAGCAGAUGUUAUUUCCUACUGACCUAAUUUAGAGAACAUUAAACGUAAGAGAGGGAACAUUUGGGGUUGGAAGCCUGUGCCCAAAACCUUAAAGAGUGCAGGCAGCUGGCCAUAAAAGCAGCUUGAGCAAACCCCUCAUUCAGCCGUUGAAAUGUGUGUGUGAACACUUUAAAGGUUUCCUCUGUGCUUUUCCUGCGUGCAUUUGGUCAUCACAGCUGUGAAGUGGGGUGGGAAUGUUUCCCCUCGUUUUCUAGGAGAGAAAUUUUGGGUUCAGUGAGACGAAGUGCUGCAGACAGGCCCAUGGUGAUGCUCAGGCCUCUGCUUGAAGUUGGUGCUCACUUCCUGGCACCACUUCCUGCCCCCACCAGUGCUUCUGGCAGAGCCCAGGGCAGUGGCUUUAUGGAACUGUGUAAGGUGAUAGGAACCCACAGGUGGAAUGGCCGUGUGGCCUCUGGACUGAGGAGGGCUGGACCAGGUUGUGGGCACGCCUGGAACACACGCCACAUCCUAUCCCAUAGCGAGGCCUCUUCCUUGUGGCUCUCGAAGGAUUUGAGGACGCGGGAGGGUGAAAUGUUUCCAGAGAAAUAUCCAGGACUUUUAGAACUAGGCUUUCAAAAGCAUUUACCUGUCAGAUAAAUUCAAGUGGCAUCAAUGCAGAUUUUAAAUGUGUACAGAUAUCUCCACUCGCACGCUGAGUUGUGCUUCACACAAGUUUUGCGCACGGAGUAUUCCAUUAAAUCUACUGAAGCAGUGGGGCAAGGAGAAAGGAGAGGUGACUGCUGAUGUUUUUAAAGCUCUGACAGUCACAUAUAGAUUGUCCCAGGUACCCCUGCUGCCCCCAAGACACUCCAAAGGCAAAGAUGGAUGGUGACAAAGUAACCUUCAUGCAGAAACAAGAACAGUCACCCCCAACAACAAGCCCUGCUGAAGGUGAAGAAUGCCACCAGGCUGCCUGGCAGUUACUGAGUGCUUAUUCCUGCUAGCCUAUUGGAGUCACGUCAUAUUUGUUACAUGGUAACUUAAUUGUGCCUUCCACGCCUUCACAAAAUCAGUUGUACAAGAGAAGGCACCCACCACAGUCCAUGUGACCUUUCUCGGUCUGAUUUACAUAGUGGGGAUGAUGACACUCGCGUUGUAGAGUAGUUGCACGAUUAAACCUGGCACACAGACAUAAAGCACUCAAUGUCUGACACAUAGUGGACUCUCAAGAAGUUUGUCAUGCAGGGGACACUUGAAUGCCCAGUAUGGGCCAGACAGCAUCAGCUCAUUUCAGUCCCACAGCCCUGUGAGGGAGGAACUCUGCCCUGUUUUACAGUUAGGGAAAUUGAGGCACAAAGGCUAAGAAGUCGAUAUCCAAGGGCACAGAAUGAUUGGGUGACGGUGAGCCCAGGCAGUGUGACAACAAGGUUGCUGCCCCACGCCACCUCUGUCUUUCGUGGGUAUGUCGGUGUGAGGUGUAGGCAGCCCUGCACUGGCAUUCAGCAGGCGGGACUCCCGGGCAGGCUCUUCUGCGAACACUCAUGGGCCACCAGCCCUUUCUGGAACUUGCCUUUUUUUUUUUUUUUUACCUGAAAGCUACGUGAAUCGUUGGUAAAUUGGUGUAAAAAUGGAACUGAGUCAUCUCAAAAGUUCCUUUCAGUUCUAAAAUUCUGUGAAUUGAAGCCUACUUUUUCACUUUAAAUGAUUUAUUGGGUUUACAGUUCUUUACGCUUUCUGAUUGAACUGAUUUGAAGUUCUUAUUUCGUGUGUUGGGGAACACACCCCCAACCCGUCACAGCGUGGCCGUGGGUGGGAGAUGGACGUUAGGCUGGCCAGUCACUAGGGGGCAGCAUCAGCACGGGUCUGGCUGUCCCUGGCCUUAGGGAGCAGUUUCUGCCCCUCCUGCCCCGUCAGAAAGUCUCGGACUCCUCUCUGCUUGCAUGUGUAAAGUUUUCAUUUUCAGGGGCCUUUUAGUCAAAAAAAAUAAAGCUGUAUGACUUAGUGCUGAAGGAUAUGAAUUAGGCGUAGCUCUUGGGUUGGCAGCAUAAACCAAGGGGCAUCAACCCACCACCGACAAGCUAAGAAUGGUUUUUACAUCUUUAAAUGGUUGAAAAAGGAAAAAGAAUGUUUAGUGACACGUGAAAAAUACAUGAAAUUCAAACUUCAGUGUCUACAAAUAAAGUGCAUUAGCACACGGUC